GGGGUAGGUAGUACAAGAAGAAGCUUCUAACUUCCCCCUUAAGCGGUUAAAUUCCGUUUCUACCCCU
rnacentral:tRNA from 1 species